rnacentral:rRNA from 1 species
UACGUAGGUGGCAAGCGUUAUCCGGAUUUAUUGGGCGUAAAGGGAACGCAGGCGGUCAUUUAAGUCUGAUGUGAAAGCCUUCGGCUUAACCGGAGUAGUGCAUUGGAAACUGGGAGACUUGAGUGCAGAAGAGGAGAGUGGAACUCCAUGUGUAGCGGUGAAAUGCGUAGAUAUAUGGAAGAACACCAGUGGCGAAAGCGGCUCUCUGGUCUGUAACUGACGCUGAGGUUCGAAAGCGUGGGUAGCAAACAGG